rnacentral:misc_RNA from 1 species
UAGGCUUGACAUGCUGGGUAAAGCGGGUGAAAGCCCGUGUCCGUAAGGGCCCAGCACAGGUGCUGCAUGGCUGUCGUCAGCUCGUGCCGUGAGGUGUUGGCUUAAGUGCCGCAACGAGCGCAACCCCUGUCCUUAGUUGCCAGCACGUAAUGGUGGGGACUCUAAGGAGACUGCCGGGGACAACUCGGAGGAAGGUGGGGAUGACGUAGACCUUGGACC